AGGGUCCUACGGGACGCAGCAGUGGGGAAUAUUGGGCAAUGGGCGCAAGCCUGACCCAGCAACGCCGCGUGAAGGAAGAAGGCUUUCGGGUUGUAAACUUCUUUUCUCAGGGACGAAGCAAGUGACGGUACCUGAGGAAUAAGCCACGGCUAACUACGUGCCAGCAGCCGCGGUAAUACGUAGGUGGCAAGCGUUAUCCGGAUUUACUGGGUGUAAAGGGCGUGUAGGCGGGGACGCAAGUCAGAAGUGAAAGCCCAAGGCUCAACCAUGGGACUGCUUUUGAAACUGUCAAACUAGAGUACGGG
rnacentral:rRNA from 1 species